rnacentral:rRNA from 1 species
ACGGGAAGCCGUUGCUUCAAGUUUUCGGACGAGAAGUGACGGUGGAGAGUGGCGAAAGGGUGAGUAACGCGUGGGCAAUCUGCCCUUAAGUUGGGGACAACCAGCCGAAAGGCUGGCUAAUACCGAAUGUGGUCCGGUCUCGCAUGUGACCAGGAUUAAAGACGGGGAUUCUUCGGAACCUGUCGCUUGAGGAGGAGCCCGCGUCCCAUCAGUUAGUUGGUAGGGUAACGGCCUACCAAGGCAUACGGGUAGCUGGUCUGAGAGGAUGGUCAGCCACACUGGGACUGAGACACUGCCCAGACUCCUACGGGAGGCUGCAGUCGAGGAUCAUUCGCAAUGCGCGAAAGCGUGACGAUGCGACGCUGCGUGGAGGAUGACGGCCCUAGGGUUGUAAACUCCUGUCAUUCGGGAAAAAUAGCAGUAGGGCUAAUACCCCUGCUGUAUGAUGGUACCGGAAGAGGAAGCCACGGCUAACUCUGUGCCAGCAGCCGCGGUAAUACAGAGGUGGCGAGCGUUGUUCGGAUUUACUGGGCGUAAAGCGUACGUAGGCGGUUUUAUAUGUCGGAUGUGAAAUCCCACGGCUCAACCGUGGAACUGCAUCCGAAACUAUAGGACUAGAGUGCAGGAGGGGAGAGCGGAAUUCUUGGUGUAGCGGUGAAAUGCGUUGAUAUCAAGAAGAACACCAGUGGCGAAGGCGGCUUUCUGGUCUGUAACUGACGCUGAGGCGCGAAAGCGUGGGGGAGCAAACAGGAUUAGAUACCCUGGUAGUCCACGCCGUAAACGAUGAGUGCUAAGUGUUAG